rnacentral:rRNA from 1 species
UACAUAGGGUGCUAGCGUUGCUCGGAAUGACUGGGAGUAAAGAACAUGUAGGAGGAUUAGUAAGUCAAAAGUGCAAUCCCUGAGCUUAACUCAGGAACUGCUUUUAAUACUGCUAAUCUGGAGGAAGAUAGAGGACAACGGAAUUCUUAGUGGAGGGGUUAAAUCCGUAGAUAUUAAGAGGAACACCGAAAGCGAAGGCAGUUGUUUGGGUCUUUCCUGACUCUGAGAUGUGAAAGCGUGGGGAGCAAAC